AUUGAACGCUGGCGGCAUGCCUUACACAUGCAAGUCGAACGACAGCACGGGUGCUUGCACCUGGUGGCGAGUGGCGAACGGGUGAGUAACACAUCGGAACGUACCUUAUCGUGGGGGAUAACGCAGCGAAAGCUGUGCUAAUACCGCAUACGCCCUGAGGGGGAAAGCGGGGGAUCGCAAGACCUCGCGCGAUUAGAGCGGCCGAUGCCUGAUUAGCUUGUUGGUGGGGUAAAAGCCCACCAAGGCGACGAUCAGUAGCUGGUCUGAGAGGACGAUCAGCCACACUGGGACUGAGACACGGCCCAGACUCCUACGGGAGGCAGCAGUGGGGAAUUUUGGACAAUGGGGGCAACCCUGAUCCAGCAAUGCCGCGUGAGUGAAGAAGGCCUUCGGGUUGUAAAGCUCUUUUGUCAGGGAAGAAACACCGGCUCUAACACAGUCCGGGAAUGACGGUACCUGAAGAAUAAGCACCGGCUAACUACGUGCCAGCCGCCGCGGUAA
rnacentral:rRNA from 1 species